UGUGGGAUAGUCUCACACCCUGCAUCCCCAUUCGUAGCCUUUUCCAAACCGGGCAAAACAACGACAAUGAAAGCAUCGUUAAGUACAGCUGGCACCGGGCUACGGGACAACAACAACACGAACAAAAAAGGAAAAGCUCUUCUUCAUUCUUUAACUUUUUAUGAUGUUGUACACAGGCUAACAACCAUUCUCGCCGAUGAUGGCAGCACUACAGCAGUGCCAAGUGGAAGUACCAGAUGGGUUAGCCUUAUGGAUAGCCGGCGAGCGUGUUGUGACCGUUGCCGUUUGGGUUUUUGUCUCUUCCGCAAGGGGUGAGGGUGAGGGUGAAACCCGGCGCGCUAGCGUUAUAUAUAGUGGAUAAUGGAAGAGAACGCAAAGAAAACGAUAUCUAAUCUGCCAAGUGGAUGCAGUUUCAAGCUUCAAGAGUACUCUACUGUCAGCCAUUAGUGUUUUCCGGAAUAUUGAGAACGCAAGAAAACAUGAAGCUUCUGACGCACCGUGGAGGCGUCAGUGAGUAAACAAUAUUCACAUAGUGAGUAAACAAAUUCGACAUCUUUUGUAUCUAACCGGAAAAGGCAUUCCUUGGAGGAACGUGACGAAGGUAUUGCAGUGCCGCACCGUGUGCCGUACACUUGCUUUGAAUUCAUCACCACAGGGUUUCCGCGCUGAGAUAGCAAAGAUCAUGGGGGGCAAAUGUUUGCCCUCGGAGUGCUUUGAUGGAAAAUUCCCGCAGCUCACCCCGGUACCGGAUGGUGGCGAACGACGACGCUUCAAGCUGUCAGUCAGCAGGCCGAUAGGAAGGCACACCAUGUGAAUGCGGUCGUGGCUGUAUAAUGAUUUGCUCACUACACCCGAACGCCUUUUGCUCUAAUCGGAUUUACAGAUGGAAGUCGGCAGAAAGUCCUCAUUAGGCGCGGCUUCCUUCGAAGUUAUUAUUUUCGAUUGCGAGCGAGCAAAUUUAAACUUUAUGCUAGGUAUAUUAUGUUAUGGCAGUGCGCUAAGUUAUAUCAGCCAAGAUACAUAGUAUACUUUGAGAAAACAACAUUGAUGAAGCCAACCAAAUAUUCUUCGCAUGAUAAUACAAAUGCGGACUUACUGACUAUUCUUUUUGAUAUAAUUUUUUGAGCAACUUUACAUAUACCAUCGUGCUUUUGCCCCCUUCCCCAAUAACUGUUCUUUAUUGAGAGUCGUAAGAAGUGUUUCGGUUGGAAAUCCUUACGGGGAAAAAUAAGUACAACUUUUGAGUGGAUCUACGUCUUAAGGGACGCUUCUGAAAUGCGGAGAAUUGCACUAUUAGAAAAUGUCGAGCCUUGUUUUGCACGCAGAUAUCAACCAAUCAGAGCUGAAAACAAUGUUAAAUACCAUCCAAUAUGGGUAUUUUCGGAACCGGGAGGCCGAAAACUCAGACGCCAUUUUGUUAUGUAAAUUUUUCUGGUUUUAGAGUCAUUGGUAGCUAUAGCUGAGAUAAUUCGGUCUCUUUAUUUUUUGAAAAGGUUUUUAAACAUGUCGAGCACAUGCUGAGAACCUUUUAUUUUCGUUAGCAGAGGUACUUUCAAUCUAUCUUAUCAGCCUACCACUUUAAGCAAAAGUUGGAAUCAAUUUUUGCUUUGCCUCUUUUUAACUUUUUUGUCUCGUUAGAAUUCCUUUUUUAAUUUGAAGCGAACUUAAGAUUUUCUUUAUUUUUAUUUUUUUUUUUCUAGAAGCAUUUCCUAGCUCUUUUAGUUAGUUCGGAAAACCUAGUUUGCUUUAUCUCUUUUAAAGGGAAUUUUCACAUAGAACUACGUCCCUCAGGAAGUUUGUCUGCAUAGGAGUGUGAAAUGCAAAUCAAAGAUGAAAAAAGGGAAAGUAUGUCGAAUUUCAAAUGCUAAUAAAUCGGUUAGUUAUCAAUGGAUUUCCUUCCUUCUUGCAGAAAUCGAUUGGAAAAUCAUCUAUGCAUUUGCUCGAAUGCAUAAAAUUGUAAUUUGUUUUGUCGAACUAUUGUACUAUUGAAAAUUGCCAAGCUGGUGGCUGAAUGCUUACUUUGCCAAGUACGAUCGUUUCACUAGAAUAUGGCGACUACCCAAGCAACAAUUGACACAUAACAAAAAAAUAAAUUGUGAUCAUUUGUUGCACUCAUGAAAUUCCGAGGUCUUAAGAAACAUUUUUUGUUACUACGAUGAAAUUUUAAAGAAACGAGCAACAACUAAAGUUGCAUCGCUGCUUCAAAAAUCUUCAGACCAACAACAUAAUUCGCGAGGUUAGAUUUGUUGUUGAAACGUGUAAACGGCAUUUGAAAACCCAACCUUCACUGAAUAGAUCUAGUGGGUGAAGCAUAUAGGUUGCCGACGUGAUGCUUGCGAGAUACAAAAAACAAACACACAAAAAUACUUCUAAAAGUUGCUGUCAUGUUCUAAAGCCAUGUAACAGCAACUUUUGCUCGAUUGCUAUUGUUAUAUUUGUUUUUGAGAUGAGGUUAUUUACUGCGUUGUAACUUUUGGGUACUUGGACUAGAAGUCGUUCAAAAAGUGUGGGGCUCUAAAACGAAAUGUGAUAAAUUGCUUUGAAUUUCAUUAUCACGCUGAGGUACUGAUGAAUUGGAGAAGCAAAAUUAAAACUGGUAAUGACCAUUAGCAUGAUAAGGGAAGCAAUAUUUGAAACUGAGUCAUGAACUUGCAAGUGUUUCUACAGCAAGUGACGUAAAUAGUACAAACAAGAAAAGUAAAUAGAAAUUGAUAACUGGAGUUGAAUCCCCAAAUUUCUGGAAAUAAUCAAAGAUAAAUCGCUAUACAGACAAUCUCUUUCCAUUCUGACCAUUGGCCAUUUUACAAUCUUACCACAACGCCAUGAAGUUUCUAUUGCGCCCUAGUUGCUGCUACGAUGCAUCUUCGUAGCUGAAAUUUUACCAUGCAGCAUUUACCAUGUUAGUAAAUUCCAUGCAUUAGUUUAUACAC